UACGUAGGGUGCGAGCGUUGUCCGGAAUUACUGGGCGUAAAGCGCGCGCAGGCGGUUCUUCAAGUCAGAGGUGAAAGCCCAGAGCUCAACUCUGGAAUGGCCUUUGAGACUAGAGAACUUGGGUACGGGAGAGGUGAGUGGAAUUCCGAGUGUAGAGGUGAAAUUCGUAGAUAUUCGGAAGAACACCAGUGGCGAAGGCGGCUCACUGGCCCGUUACCGACGCUCAGGCGCGACAGCGUGGGGAGCAAACAGG
rnacentral:rRNA from 1 species